GCCGGGUUAGCUCAGUUGGUUAGAGCAUGAUGCUGAUAACGCCAAGUACACAGGUUCAAUCCCUGCUUACUGCA
rnacentral:tRNA from 1 species